GGCGGGGGGGAACGCUGCCUUUCGUUAUCAGAUGCAGAGCUCCGCGUGGAUCGGCGGCGCUGGGAGGGAGCACGGCUCAGAGCAAAGGGUCGGUCCAUAACUUGGCUCCAUUUUCUAUCUCCUGCUCUGAGUUGGCUGCCAACCCAUCAUCAACCCUCCAAGUGCUCUGGGAGAAAGAAUUGGGACCCAGUGCAUCUCAGUGCAAUUGUGGUGCCUUUCCUUGUCCUUCUAUUUCCAAAAAUCAGAGAUCUAGAGCUGGCCUGGCGGGGACAGGGCUUUCUGGUCCCCUGGGCUGCAGCCCAGAUGGCAUGCACAGAUUAGUGCAGCCUCCAGGGCCACCAAUCCCAGGCAGUUUGGCAGGGCUGAAUUCCCUCCAAAUGACAAAAAUAAAUAAAAUCUCUCUGCAUUAAA